GGGCGCCUGAGGCUUUCUGGUUUCAGGCAACAUGUGGUUUCCAGAAAGAUGAAGGCCCCGAGUUAAUGACUUAACCCGAGGCCGACACAUGAACCCAAACAGUCAUGAUGUUAGCCUCUUACUCGCCUCACGGCAAGGAGAAAAGGCUAUGAAG
rnacentral:antisense_RNA from 1 species